UACGAAGGGGGCUAGCGUUGUUCGGAAUCACUGGGCGUAAAGGGUGCGUAGGCGGGUCUUUAAGUCAGGGGUGAAAUCCUGGAGCUCAACUCCAGAACUGCCUUUGAUACUGAGGAUCUUGAGUCCGGGAGAGGUAAGUGGAACUGCGAGUGUAGAGGUGAAAUUCGUAGAUAUUCGCAAGAACACCAGUGGCGAAGGCGGCUCACUGGCCCGGUACUGACGCUGAGGCACGAAAGCGUGGGGAGCAAACAGG
rnacentral:rRNA from 1 species